rnacentral:rRNA from 1 species
GACGAACGCUGGCGGCGUGCUUAACACAUGCAAGUCGAGCGGAAAGGCCCUUCGGGGUACUCGAGCGGCGAACGGGUGAGUAACACGUGAGUAAUCUGCCCUUGGCUUUGGGAUAACUACUGGAAACGGUGGCUAAUACCGGAUACGACAACCGUCUGCAUGGGCUGGUUGUGGAAAGUUUUUUCGGCCAGGGAUGUGCUCGCGGCCUAUCAGCUUGUUGGUGGGGUAAUGGCCUACCAAGGCUUCGACGGGUAGCCGGCCUGAGAGGGUGACCGGCCACACUGGGACUGAGACACGGCCCAGACUCCUACGGGAGGCAGCAGUGGGGAAUAUUGGACAAUGGGCGGAAGCCUGAUCCAGCAACGCCGCGUGAGGGAUGACGGCCUUCGGGUUGUAAACCUCUUUCAGUACCGACGAAGCGCCGAUGAUGGUGGUGACGGUAGGUACAGAAGAAGCACCGGCCAACUACGUG